AAUUGUAAUAAGCUAACAUUGAACUUUCCUCAAGCCUUUCAACAUUAUAUCAUUCCGAUUGCACAAUAAGCUAUUUUUUCAAAGAUUUGCUUAAAAUCUUACUUGUUUAAUUUCAAAAUCUUACUUGUUUAAUUUCAAACAACACACGUGACACACGUGACUAAACCUGAUUGGUUGUUGUCAUAGUAACACGUCACGGUGCUAUUUGAAACUUGUUCAGUUUAGUUCAGUUGUUCACGGUGCAUGCGGUUGCUUGCAUUAAACGUAUAAACUGUUAAAUUAGAUGGCGACUCUGCAUUAAACGUAUUUAUUUAAUUAAUCGGCGAUCAUAUUUCACCAGAGGACUAAGAUAAAACAACUCGAUUUAAAAUAUGAGCAGUUUUAGUGGAUCUGACGUUGAGGGAAAAAGUAUUUCGCUUUUUGUUUGGAGAUGAACGAGACAACACGAGGGUAAGUGAUGACAGAUUUUCACAUUUCUUUAUUUAGUUAACUAUUAAAUAAGUAAAACAUUACAUUACAUUUAACCCAGCUUCUUUAUGUAACGUUAUGUCUGUGUUGCGUGUGGUAAUUGGAACAUCUUUAUUUUCUGACUAACGUUAGGCAUUUCUCUUAAGCAUUUCAGAAAUCAUUAAAACCUUUCAUUUUUUUUAGCACAGCGACAUAAAUAUGACCAACCAGAUCCCAAGUAGACAGGAACAAAUGAAGAUAUAGCGCAUAGAAAGACUUAUUCUUGGUGAUCAACUGCUAUUGACAUUUUUGAAUCGGGGCAAAUGUGGAGUGAAGAAAAACUUUGCAACACAUCCAUUCCAGAGUGCUCUGACAGAUAAAACUGACACGCUUGAUGAGGACACAGUCAAGCUUUAAAAGACCGUGUGAUAAAGCAGUCUUCAAUUACUACGGUGUCUGAAUUGCAAGAAGAAGUCACCCUCCACUUAAACAUGUGACAUCUAAACUGUUUUGUGUUUUAGUUCAGCUUUUUAUAGGUUUAUCUUAAGUUGGUUAAAGGCAGAGUGCACUAUUUUUGAAAGCCAAUGUUAACAUUUGAAAUUACCUAAACAAACAUGCCUCUACCCCAAUAGAAUCUGGACCUUCUUUUGAUAGAGCCACCACACACAUACGCAACCCCGGCAAGGAUGUCAGUUAGUAGACACGCCCCUUACUGCUGGUUGGCUACAAAGUGUGUUUUGGUAGUCGGCCCAAUUUCCUUUUCCAAAGCGUUUUUCAAACAUUGUGCACUCCGUCUUUAAAUUGCACUUAAACAUUUUUUUUCAUUAACUUUUU